GGGAUUGUAGUUCAGCGGUUAGAGCGUCGCUCUGUCACGGCGAAUGUCGCGGGUUCGAAUCCCGUCAAUCCCG
rnacentral:tRNA from 1 species